GCCUUCCAUGAAGUCGGAAUUGCUAGUAAUGGCAGGUCAGCAUACUGCCGUGAAUACGUUCCCGGGCCUUGUACACACCGCCCGUCACACCAUGAGAGUUGGGAAUACCCGAAGCCUGUGAGCCAACAAACGAGGCAGCAGUCGAAGGUAGAAUCAAUGAUUGGGGUGAAGUCGUAACAAGGUACC
rnacentral:rRNA from 1 species